UACGUAGGGGGCAAGCGUUGUCCGGAAUCAUUGGGCGUAAAGAGCGUGUAGGCGGCCCGGUAAGUCCGCUGUGAAAGUCGAGGGCUCAACCUCGAAUGCCGGCGGAUACUGUCGGGCUAGAGUCCGGAAGAGGCGAGUGGAAUUCCUGGUGUAGCGGUGAAAUGCGCAGAUAUCAGGAGGAACACCUACGGCGAAGGCAGCUCGCUGGGACGGUACUGACGCUGAGACGCGAAAGCGUGGGGAGCAAACAGG
rnacentral:rRNA from 1 species